rnacentral:rRNA from 1 species
AUGGUAGCCUACCAGCUAGACUUACCCAGAGAAUUAUCCGAUAUCCACAACGUGUUCCACGUCUCGCAAUUAAGGAAGUGCGUGAGCAACCCAGAGAAGCAAGUAUCCCAUGAAAACAUUGACGUGCAACCAGACCUCACCUAUCGGGAACAUCCAGUAAAAAUAUUGGAGGAGUCUGAAAGAAGGACCCGAUAG